UUUCAUUUAACCCAUUGAGUGAAACGCCUCCCUCAACGUUGGCGGUGGGUAAUUUAAAGUUGUCAACCCUCAUUCCUGCAGUAGAGAAGAAGGUGUGGGUAGUGUGUGUGCAGAUCAAUUCUGUAGUAGAGAAGAAGCAGAGUAGAGUGCAACAUGGGUGGUUCUUUCGUAGGGCGUGUGCACAAUAAUUUCGUCCACCUAAGAGUCAGAUAAAGAUGGUAAUAACUAGAGGAGGUGGAUCUCAAAGUGAUCAUAUAUGGCCAACUACAGCCCAAGUAAUUUUGAAUUUGAAGUUGUUGAAGAUGAACCUCUGGAGGAAAAUGUUAGCGAGGAGGACCAUCAUGUUGGUGAAGAAGGAAAUUUUGAAGGACUAGUGGACAAGUCCUUGUUUGUUUCUUAUGAUGACCAUGUUGCUAGAUAAUUGUGGAAUGAAGUGGCAUGGAUUUAUGAGCACUUCCUAACUAUUGGGUUUAUGGAUGUUAUACCUGAUUAUACAAAGGAUGAGCCUCGAUGCAGGAGCUAUCAAGUGAGGAGACUAUCAGCCAUAGGAAUUGUACAAUUAUAAUUGGAUAACCUUGUCCAGUUUGGUGUGAAUUUUACCCAUACAAUGAACAUAUACAAAGUCAACCUUUUGAAUAAUUAUCGUUGUUCUCGGGAUAUUUUAGGUUGGGCCCAUUCAUACAACUACACUUGCCUGAACGUGUGCUUCGUCAAUAUGGGUAUAUGCAAACCAUUCCUCGGUAUCCAUCAAUAGUCACUGAUGGGAAUACUAAUACAGCCGAAAUGGAUCGAUGUUGGAUCCAUUUUUGAUCAAUAUGUGCUCCAUAAUGUGUUGGGGGAUCAUGUCGGUGCUUGUGCACCAAGGUAUAUGGAUUUGUUUAUGUUUGUGUCGCAUUCAUACAUGGUUCAAAGGGAUGAUACUAAGUGACCUCAUGGUAUGCCACCGAUGGCAUGUGCAAAGGAGGGGGCCCAUAAUGAACCACAUGACGUUCAUCCAAUGCAUCUUGUUGUGAUGAGAUUUUAUUUCUUUUUGGUAUGUUUAUUAUUGAAUUAAUAAUGCUGACACACAAACUUUUUUGUAGAAUAUUUGUAUGAGGAUCACAGAGACCUUACAACCUCUUUCUUUAUCAUCUUUUCUUCAAUUUUUAUGUUACUUUUGCAUUUCACGGAGGGCUAAACAUUCAAAGUU